rnacentral:rRNA from 1 species
CAGCACCUCAAGUGGUCAGGAUGAUUAUUGGGCCUAAAGCAUCCGUAGCCUGCUUUGUUAGUUUUCGGUUAAAUCCAUACGCUCAACGUAUAGGCUGCCGGGAAUACUGCAGCGCUAGGGAGUGGGAGAGGUAGACGGUACUCGGUAGGAAGGGGUAAAAUCCUUUGAUCUAUUGAUGACCACCUGUGGCGAAGGCGGUCUACCAGAACACGUCCGACGGUGAGGGAUGAAAGCUGGGGGAGCAAACCGGAUUAGAUACCCGAGUAGUCC